CGGGGGGAGCAAGCGUUGUUCGGAUUUACUGGGCGUAAAGGGCGUGUAGGCGGCCACCGCAAGUCGGUUGUGAAAUCUCUGGGCUUAACCCAGAAAGGUCAACCGAUACUGCGGGGCUAGAGUGCAGAAGGGGCAACUGGAAUUCUCGGUGUAGCGGUGAAAUGCGUAGAUAUCGAGAGGAACACCUGCGGCGAAGGCGGGUUGCUGGGCUGACACUGACGCUGAAACGCGAAAGCUAGGGGAGCGAACGGGAUUAGAUACCCCGGUAGUCCUAGCCUUAAACGAUGAAUGCUUGGUGUCUGGGGGUUUUAUAGUCCCCGGGUGCCGUCGCUAACGCUUUAAGCAUUCCGCCUGGGGAGUACGGUCGCAAGACUG
rnacentral:rRNA from 1 species